rnacentral:rRNA from 1 species
GACGAACGCUGGCGGCGUGCUUAACACAUGCAAGUCGAACGGAAAGGCCCUGCUUGCAGGGUACUCGAGUGGCGAACGGGUGAGUAACACGUGGGUGAUCUGCCCUGCACUUCGGGAUAAGCUUGGGAAACUGGGUCUAAUACCGGAUAGGAGCCAUCUUGAGUGUGGUGGUUGGAAAGUUUUUUCGGUGUAGGAUGAGCUCGCGGCCUAUCAGCUUGUUGGUGGGGUAAUGGCCUACCAAGGCGGCGACGGGUAGCCGGCCUGAGAGGGGGUACGGCCACAUUGGGACUGAGAUACGGCCCAGACUCCUACGGGAGGCAGAAGUGGGGAAUAUUGCACAAUGGGCGCAAGACUGAUGCAGCGACGCCGCGUGGGGGAUGAAGGCCUUCGGGUUGUAAACUCCUCUCGCUAGGGACGAAGCUUUGUUGUGACGGUACCUAGAUAAGAAGCACCGGCUAACUACGUG